GCAGGCUGCAACCCGCCUGCGUGAAGUUGGAAUCGCUAGUAAUCGCGGAUCAGCAUGCCGCGGUGAAUACGUUCCCGGGCCUUGUACACACCGCCCGUCACACCAUGAGAGUCGGGAACACCCGAAGUCCGUAGCCUAACAGCAAUGGGGGCGCGGCCGAAGGUGGGUUCGAUAAUUGGGGUGAAGUCGUAACAAGGUACC
rnacentral:rRNA from 1 species